rnacentral:tRNA from 1 species
AAAAGUGAUAUUUUGUUAUUUACAAUAAUAAAAACCUUUGGGCACUUUUA